CUUGUUUGGAUAUUUAGUGCGUUUUAUCAUUAAUCUGCGUGCGACAGUGGUCUAUCAUAUAUUCAAAAAAUGUACGGUAUGAAUGUUGAAACCUCACAUAUAUUUGUUGAAAUUUAUUAUCUAUCAUGUGAAAGUAACAUGUGUGGCUGUGCGAUUAAACUAACUUCCUUCCUGCGUUUACAUCUGUUGCUGAAUAACCCAUCUGUCCUACCAGUACGCGGAUUCACAUUUCGAAAUUCCCGCGAAACAACCGCCCACACGGCGCUACCAACCACUCGCCACAACCAUUCGCGAAACUGAGAAGGCACAUGUCUCUGCGUUGAGAC